rnacentral:lncRNA from 1 species
AGCGUGCCCGCGGGGGCGGGGCGGCGGCGCCAGGCGGGGGGGCUGCUGCUGAGGCCCGUCAUAUGCAUAUGCAACGACCCGUGAGUGGGGGGCGUCGGGUGGGCCGCGCGGGGUCUCGGGCCCAUGGGGAGGGCCGCCCUGCUUGCCUGCCCGGCCACGUCAAGGCUGCAGAGCUGGGGCUGGGCCGGGGCGCAGACCCCGAGGACCCCGGCUGAGGGUACCGCCCCUGCGCCCCCAGGUUCGCGCCCUCCCUGCGGCAGCUGAAGCAGCAGGCGCUCCUGCUCCACUUCCCGCCGACGCUGCCGUCGCGGCUCGCGCAGCGGCUCCUGGAGGUCGGUGGGGGUGGGGGAGGUGGGGGGGCCGCGCCGGAGGGCUGCAUGGGCCGGUGCACUCGCCCUCACCCGUCCCUGGGCCCACCGCUGGCCUCCCACAGAUCGCCCUGAAGCGGGGCAUGCAGGCCGACCCGGGCGCGCUCGCCGCGCUCUGCGAGAAGACGGGCAACGACAUCCGGGCCUGCGUCAACACCCUGCAGUUCUUGCACGGGCAGGGCCGGCGGGGGCUGAGCCUGGGGACGGUGCGGACGGCGCACGUCGGCCUCAAGGACCAGCGCCGGGGGCUCUUCUCUGUGUGGCAGGAGGUCUUCCAGCUGCCCCGGGCGCAGCGGUGAGCAGCGCGGGGGUCCGUCUGCUGCGGGUGGGGGGGCCUUGCUGCAGGCACGGCCAUGCUUGUGGGGGGCAAGCCGGCUACCGGGGGGUCUCGGGACCCCAGGACGCUGCCCCCAGGAGCUCACCAGGUGGGACAUGGCGCUGCCAGCCUCCGAGGGCGCCCUCCCUACGGUCUGCACCGUGCAUGCGGAGGGCUUUGGGCCGGUCCAGGGCACAGCCCUCAGGCCUGGCGGGAGUGGGU